rnacentral:rRNA from 1 species
CAAUAGCGUAUAUUUAAGUUGUUGCAGUUAAAAAGCUCGUAGUUGGAUUUCGGAUGGGAUUUGCCGGUCCGUCGUUACGAUGUGCACUGGCCAGUCCUAUCUUGUUGUCGGGGACUAGCUCCUUGGAUUCACUUCCUGGGACUAGGAGCUGACGAGGUUACUUUGAGUAAAUUAGAGUGCUCAAAGCAAGCCUACGCUCUGAAUACAUUAGCAUGGAAUAACACGAUAGGACUCUGGCUUAUCUUGUUGGUCUGUGAGACCAGAGUAAUGAUUAAGGGGGACAGUCGGGGACAUUCGUAUUUCAUUGUCAGAGGUGAAAUUCUUGGAUUUAUGAAAGACGAACUUCUGCGAAAGCAUUUGUCAAGGAUGUUUUCAUUAA